UACGUAGGGCGCAAGCGUUGUCCGGAAUUAUUGGGCGUAAAGAGCUCGUAGGUGGCUUGUCACGUCGGGUGUGAAAGCUUGGGGCUUAACUCCAGGUCUGCAUUCGAUACGGGCUGGCUAGAGGUAGGUAGGGGAGAACGGAAUUCCUGGUGUAGCGGUGAAAUGCGCAGAUAUCAGGAGGAAUACCGGUGGCGAAGGCGGCAUCCUGGACCAUUACUGACGCUGAGGCGCGAAAGCUAGGGGAGCAAACGGG
rnacentral:rRNA from 1 species